GUUGCUAUAUUUUGUUAGAAAGGAAGGAGAGGCUGUUUCUACAGGUGUCAUAGAAAAAUCAGUGCUGAGCCACGGAUUAUUGGGUCCCAUAGAACCAUGGACACAUGGCAGUGAAAUUCUUCCCAAGGCAGGCGGUGUUCCUAGGUCUGGAAGGAUAAAUCCCAGGGGAAGUGAGCUGCAGAACAUUUUAUGCAUCACUCAUUCUAUUAUGAGCCCUCUGCUGCUCCAUCUCUAUAAGACUGGCUGAACCCACGACAAUAACAAUCGUUUACAAUUAUACUCUAACUUUGGAUCAUCUAGUUAAUACCCUAACUCUGAUUAUUUUGAACACAAUGUCCUAUAAGAAAGACUAUUUGAAUGAUUUUACUGCAUUAGUAAUAAAACAACAGAGAAAAAUGAAACAUUCUGAAUGUACCAUCUGAUGAGCUGACAGUGAAAGAACAGAAACCGAGCAAUAAGACUGCACGGCUACAUUUUCCAGAGCCACCAGCUGGGAGUUAAGUUGACUAAGGUUGUGAAAGCCCAGCCCAUUUGGAUCGCAGCAGGCAUGGCAGCGGAUGACUGAUUGUACCCGCCAGCUGGCUAAUAUCAUAAUUAACAAAGUUGCUACUACGUUGGCAAAGUUUAAUCGAAAAAUUUGCCAGUGAUAUGAUGGCAUUGUCACAAAGAUCACAAGGGACACGGAGCCCACUUCUGCUCAAGGUGGAACGGCAAAGGUGUGUAUGCAAGCGGAGAAAUCGCAAACUUGUUCAGCCAAAGGUUAUGCUUCAUAUCACCCACCAGGGAGGAUCAUUGCUCAUGAAAACUUUUAAAUUUGAUUUUGAAAAUUAUUCAGAAAAAUUUAAGCGAUGCUCUCUUCCAAUGUAAGAAAGAAUAUGCUCUGGAGAUUCUUAUAAUUCAAAGAAAAUGGAUUGGUAGAGCAUUUGAGUUCUCAUGCUGCCAAAAUCCUCUUG